AUAAUGGGUCAGCGACUUAUAUUCUGUAGCAAGGUUAACCGAAUAGGGGAGCCGAAGGGAAACCGAGUCUUAACUGGGCGUUAAGUUGCAGGGUAUAGACCCGAAACCCGGUGAUCUAGCCAUGGGCAGGUUGAAGGUUGGGUAACACUAACUGGAGGACCGAACCGACUAAUGUUGAAAAAUUAGCGGAUGACUUGUGGCUGGGGGUGAAAGGCCAAUCAAACCGGGAGAUAGCUGGUUCUCCCCGAAAGCUAUUUAGGUAGCGCCUCGUGAAUUCAUCUCCGGGGGUAGAGCACUGUUUCGGCAAGGGGGUCAUCCCGACUUACCAACCCGAUGCAAACUGCGAAUACCGGAGAAUGUUAUCACGGGAGACACACGGCGGGUGCUAACGUCCGUCGUGAAGAGGGAAACAACCCAGACCGCCAGCUAAGGUCCCAAAGUCAUGGUUAAGUGGGAAACGAUGUGGGAAGGCCCAGACAGCCAGGAUGUUGGCUUAGAAGCAGCCAUCAUUUAAAGAAAGCGUAAUAGCUCACUGGUCGAGUCGGCCUGCGCGGAAGAUGUAACGGGGCUAAACCAUGCACCGAAGCUGCGGCAGCGACGCUUAUGCGUUGUUGGGUAGGGGAGCGUUCUGUAAGCCUGUGAAGGUGUGCUGUGAGGCAUGCUGGAGGUAUCAGAAGUGCGAAUGCUGACAUAAGUAACGAUAAAGCGGGUGAAAAGCCCGCUCGCCGGAAGACCAAGGGUUCCUGUCCAACGUUAAUCGGGGCAGGGUGAGUCGACCCCUAAGGCGAGGCCGAAAGGCGUAGUCGAUGGGAAACAGGUUAAUAUUCCUGUACUUGGUGUUACUGCGAAGGGGGGACGGAGAAGGCUAUGUUGGCCGGGCGACGGUUGUCCCGGUUUAAGCGUGUAGGCUGGUUUUCCAGGCAAAUCCGGAAAAUCAAGGCUGAGGCGUGAUGACGAGGCACUACGGUGCUGAAGCAACAAAUGCCCUGCUUCCAGGAAAAGCCUCUAAGCAUCAGGUAACAUCAAAUCGUACCCCAAACCGACACAGGUGGUCAGGUAGAGAAUACCAAGGCGCUUGAGAGAACUCGGGUGAAGGAACUAGGCAAAAUGGUGCCGUAACUUCGGGAGAAGGCACGCUGAUAUGUAGGUGAAGUCCCUCGCGGAUGGAGCUGAAAUCAGUCGAAGAUACCAGCUGGCUGCAACUGUUUAUUAAAAACACAGCACUGUGCAAACACGAAAGUGGACGUAUACGGUGUGACGCCUGCCCGGUGC
rnacentral:rRNA from 1 species